AGUGAACGCUGGCGGUAGGCCUAACACAUGCAAGUCGAACGGCAGCACAGUAAGAGCUUGCUCUUACGGGUGGCGAGUGGCGGACGGGUGAGGAAUACAUCGGAAUCUACUUUUUCGUGGGGGAUAACGUAGGGAAACUUACGCUAAUACCGCAUACGACCUACGGGUGAAAGCAGGGGAUCUUCGGACCUUGCGCGAUUGAAUGAGCCGAUGUCGGAUUAGCUAGUUGGCGGGGUAAAGGCCCACCAAGGCGACGAUCCGUAGCUGGUCUGAGAGGAUGAGCGGCCAAACUGGAACGGAGAAACGAUCCAGACUCCUAAGGGAGGCAGCAGUGGGGAAUAUUGGACAAUGGGCGCAAGCCUGAUCCAGCCAUACCGCGUGGGUGAAGAAGGCCUUCGGGUUGUAAAGCCCUUUUGUUGGGAAAGAAAAGCAGCAGGUUAAUACCCCGCUGUUCUGACGGUACCCAAAGAAUAAGCACCGGCUAACUUCGUG
rnacentral:rRNA from 1 species